rnacentral:lncRNA from 1 species
CUAAGUCAGGUUUAGCACUAAAUUGAACCUAAAUUGGAUUAGAGGUAUUCUAAUCAGGUUAGGUCAACUUGCACCUGCACCUACUGCUGGCUAAGAUAAGGAACCCAAUGGGUCACACACAAGAAAAUUGAUCAAGGAUCUAAUUGGAUUAGAUCAUGUUUGCAAGAUGAACAUACUAGCACGUGUUGCAAACCCAAGCUCCUGAUUUAAAUUAAAUUCGAAUCUGAUUCUUAGAUUAGGUUGAUCUAAUAUGAUUAGAUCAUGACCUAAUAUGGGUUAGCCAAGAGUUGGAACCCAUUUGGCUUUAAUUAGACAUGAUUUGAUUAGGUUUAAUGUUUCCUUUAAGUUGGUUAAACCCAAUUGGAUUGGGUUUGAUAGGGCCUUCACUUCUAGACCAUUGGAUCGCUCCCUGGAUGAAGGAU